AUCACUUCUCAGCCUUUUGGCUAAGAUCAAGUGUAGAAUUUCUAUGGAUGUAAUGAUUCUGUACCUAUUUCUUUCAUUUUUUCAUGUUACUUUAU
ensembl:snRNA U2 U2 spliceosomal RNA